rnacentral:rRNA from 1 species
AUUGAACGCUGGCGGCGGGCUUAACACAUGCAAGUCGAACGAGUGGCGGACGGGUGAGUAACGUCUGGGAAACUGCCUGAUGGAGGGGGAUAACUACUGGAAACGGUAGCUAAUACCGCAUACCAUCGGAUUUGCCCAGAUGGGAUUAGCUAGUAGGUGGGGUAUAGGCUCACCUAGGCGACGAUCCCUAGCUGGUCGGAGAGGAUGACGAGCCACACUGGAACUGGGACACGGGCCAGACUCCUAGGGGAGGCAGGAGUGGGGAAUAUUGCACAAUGGGGACAAGCCUGAUGCAGACAUGCCGCGUGGGUGAGGGAGGCCUUCGGGUUGUAAAGCACUUUCAGCGAGGAGGCGGUACUCGCAGAAGAAGCACCGGCUAACUCCGUGCCAGCAGCCGCGGUAAUUC